rnacentral:lncRNA from 1 species
UGUCGCGGUUGCUUAUUUUGUCUCGCGAGAGUUGGCUACAGUGAUGCGACACAGUCCACACAACGCAAUAAGAAGUACGUCAUACCGCUGAUAGCGGGAGUUUCAUUCAAGAGGAAGCGAUUAUCAGAUCUGUGCUUCGUGAGGACUUUCAUCGCUAUAAAACUGAGAACUUUGACCUGGUUAAGCACUCGCCUGAUCGGAAAACAGUUCAGCUCCUCUGGUCUGCUGUGGCCCCGAGUUACGUCAAAAACUGGUCACCGUAGCCAACAGAUCCAGUCUGUAUCCAGAUCAGAUGGUCACUACAGAUCCAGUAUGUAUCUAGCCCAGAUGGUGGAUCAGCACUUGUCUCCUAGACGCCCACCGGGACAAGACCACAGGAACCAGUUAUGUCUGGCCCAGAGGAAACCUGCCAUCCCCCUAUGCCGCCAUCACCCCCCAGACCCACCCUCCCCCUCCCCCAACGAAUGAGCCUGGUUUCUCCCAAGAUUUUUUCUCCAUUCUGUCACCGAUGGAGUUUUGGUUCCUUGCUGCUGUCGCCUCUGGCUUGCUUAGUUGGGGACACUUAAUAUCCAGUUAUAUCAUCAACUUAAUUGCACAGAUACUAUUUAAACUGAACUGAGCUGGAUGAUGAAAUCAACAAAUUCAAUGAUGAACUGCCUUUAACUAAAAAUUGAGUGUUUACUAUUGUCAUUUUGCAUUAUUGACACACUAUUUUUCUAUUUAAUACUGUAAAGUGCUUUGACACAAACUGUAUUGUUAAAAUCACCAUGGAUAAAUAAAGGUGAUAUGCCAUUAUUUAUGCAUUGAACCAUUUAAACAUGAGAAUUACCAACACGUUCUCACUCCCAACUCGUCACAUACUGAAGCUUGCUCAGGACCCCUUGGCGUCGCUUUUUUCGACGUGCAGUGUCCUCCAUUGUUUUCAGUUGUUUGUCUUAAUUUAAUGGUUUGCAUGCAUUUGUAAAAAAAUAUAAUUAAUUUGAUAUAAAUGUAUACUUUCAUUGGAGCACCUAACCCCACCCCUAGCCAAAACCUACCCACUUCUGAACAAUAUAAAACAUGUAACAGGCAAAUAUAAGUACAGUCGCAGGUAAUGAUGUGAUGUACACAGGUACAGCUAACAAUGUGAGAAUGUUGUUCAUUGAUCUCAGUUCUGCAUUUAACACUGUAAUCCCCAUCCAAGCUGAUCUCCAAGCU